UACGAGGGGGGGCAAGCGUUGUUCGGAUUUACUGGGCGUAAAGGGCGCGUAGGCGGCGUGACUAGUCACUUGUGAAAUCUCCGGGCUUAACUCGGAACGGUCAAGUGAUACUGUCGUGCUAGAGUACAGAAGGGGCAACUGGAAUUCUCGGUGUAGCGGUGAAAUGCGUAGAUAUCGAGAGGAACACCUGCGGCGAAGGCGGGUUGCUGGGCUGAUACUGACGCUGAUGCGCGAAAGCCAGGGGAGCGAACGGG
rnacentral:rRNA from 1 species